GAUGAACGCUGGCGGCGUGCCUAAUACAUGCAAGUCGAGCGAACCACUUCGGUGGUGAGCGGCGAACGGGUGAGUAACACGUAGGUGAUCUGCCCAUCAGACGGGGACAACGAUUGGAAACGAUCGCUAAUACCGGAUAGGACGAAAGUUUAAAGGUGCUUCUGGCACCGCUGAUGGAUGAGCCUGCGGCGCAUUAGCUAGUUGGCAGGGUAAAGGCCUACCAAGGCGACGAUGCGUAGCCGACCUGAGAGGGUGAACGGCCACACUGGGACUGAGACACGGCCCAGACUCCUACGGGAGGCAGCAGUAGGGAAUCUUCGGCAAUGGGCGAAAGCCUGACCGAGCAACGCCGCGUGAAUGAUGAAGGCCUUCGGGUUGUAAAAUUCUGUUAUAAGGGAAGAACGACUUUAGUAGGAAAUGGCUAGAGUGUGACGGUACCUUAUGAGAAAGCCACAGCUAACUACGUGCCAGCCGCCGCAGUAA
rnacentral:rRNA from 1 species